GAUGAACGCUGGCGGCGUGCCUAAUACAUGCAAGUCGAGCGAACGGACGAGGAGCUUGCUUCUCUGAUGUUAGCGGCGGACGGGUGAGUAACACGUGGAUAACCUACCUAUAAGACUGGGAUAACUUCGGGAAACCGGAGCUAAUACCGGAUAAUAUUUUGAACCGCAUGGUUCAAAAGUGAAAGACGGUUUUGCUGUCACUUAUAGAUGGAUCCGCGCUGCAUUAGCUAGUUGGUAAGGUAACGGCUUACCAAGGCAACGAUGCAUAGCCGACCUGAGAGGGUGAUCGGCCACACUGGAACUUAGCCACGGUCCAGACUCCUGCGGGAGGCAGCAGUAGGGAAUCUUCCGCAAUGGGCGAAAGCCUGACGGAGCAACGCCGCGUGAGUGAUGAAGGUCUUCGGAUCGUAAAACUCUGUUAUUAGGGAAGAACAUAUGUGUAAGUAACUGUGCACAUCUUGACGGUACCUAAUCAGAAAGCCACGGCUAACUACGUG
rnacentral:rRNA from 1 species